UGGCCGGGCCGUGUGCCUGGCACAGCCCCCAGGAUGCCGAGCCCGGGCAAGCCUACGUCCUGACCUCCGGACCGGACGCAGCAAUCAGUUCCUCUGAAGACAGCGGCCCUGGGGAGCAGGGAUUCCCCCACCCUGCUCCAUCUUCCCGGGCCGCACCCGGGCAUGGUCCUAUCAGCCAGGCAACUCCGCCGGGACACCCAGCACGUCACAGCAACCUUGAACGACACUCCAUCCUCCGAACUAACGAUUCGGAAUCAGAAAGGGAGUGAAGGCAGCACCCAGGGACCAGCCCCCUCCGCCCCCACGGGGCCCACCUUCCUCCCCCGCAGCCGGCUGCCCACCACCGGCCCCCGCUCCCCCCACAGAGGAAGCGAAGGACCCUCGGCACUCACGCAGGAGACUCGCUGGCCGGGUGUGCCUGGCUCUGGGCGUGGAGGGCGCAGAAGGGCCGCUCCGAUGGGCGUGGGGCACAGAGAAGGACCGCCCAGCGGGGGACGCGCCCCAGGCUGACCGCGUCAUUACGGUCCACGUCUGGACACCCGCGAGAGGGAGGGGCACCAGGACACAGGGACAAGAGGCCUCAAGCAGAGCAUCCUGGGCCAGCAGGGCCCAAGGGGACUGCGGAGCCAAGGCUUGAAAGGCCGAAUCUGCGCACGGUCGGCAACGUGACUGUAAUCCCCUCACUCGGUGUGACAGAAGGAAGAGAGACUCCCGGAAAGGCCCAGACCCUCUCCUGCCUGGUCUCCCUCCCCACUCGGAGAAGUAGCCUUCGCAGGACACCCUGAGUAGUUUAGUGACGGCAGGAGGACCGCCCAGCCCUCCCUUCUGGAAUCUUCCGCCAGCUCUCCCAGCGCCUGCUCCCCUGCAGUGUGGGCGUGCACAGUGCAGAAGCGGACGCAGGUCGGGGGACACAGGGUGCCGGGCUCUGUCCUGCCAGCCCCCCGCACGCCCAGGCCGGGCCCCUGGCCCUACAAGGAGCUCGUCCUGGCCCCCACACGGGCCCGCCUGCUUUCAGCUGGAGGCCGUUCUCGUUUCGCAGCUGCUGCUGAGCGGCUCGCUGACCCUCCCACGUCCCGGCCAGACCUCCUGGUCGGGCACACGGUGCAGGCAGCAGGGCCCACGCCAGGCCGGCCUCCGUCCCCGUCCUUUCCAUGGAGAAGGGCCUCGACGAGCUUGGGGGCACCUUCAGCGCCUCCCGUUUACCAGUCAGCUGCCCCCCAGCCUCCCCUCAGCUGGGCCCAUGAGCUGCUGCCUUCAGAGAGCUCAGGGGCUGGUCUCCAGGCCACUGCUGGGCAGGCUGGGUUUGGUCAGGGACAGUGGGGGACAGUCUGAGGGUGUCAGAGGCGGCGCCUUGAGUGGGGUACGCUUCCACAGGGUCGUCUGAGCCGGGUCAAGCGUGAGCGUUUUAGCUACCUGCCUCAGUCUCCUGCUCUGGAGAAUGGGGACAGCCACAGGCCUCGUCUAGGGACCUCAGGAGCGUCACGGGAGGCGACCCUGAAAGGCACUUCAACGGUUCUUGGCCUGUGCUGACGGCUCAGGGGAGAUUUGCCGCUUUGGGACCCAGACGUCACCCACCCUUUGCUCCGUGGCUCUUACUCUGUGGUGGAGCGAGAGGAAGGAGCCCCAGGGCAGGCUGGUGUCAGGACGGCCAGCGCGGGCCGCACCCCAGCUUCAGGAGUUUUGUCAUUUCCAGAAGGUUCUAUAAAUGGAAUCUUACAGCGUGUGACCUGUCGGGCCUGGCUCUCUCACUCAGCGUAAUUCUCUCGAGAUUCACCGAGUUGUGGUAUCGAUAGUUUGCUCCUUUUGGCUGCUGAGCGAUAUUCCACGGCACGGAUGUGCUACAGCUCAUGACAGCUGGAUUUGCGCCCAGCGAUUGCACCUGUGGUUUCCAGCUAUUUCCGAUAACGCUGCUAUGAACAGGUUUGGGGAUGAACCUAACUCUUCAUUUCUCUGGGCUAAAUGCCCAGGAGAGUAAUUGCUGGGUGACGUGACAGCUGUGUGUUUGCUACAAGGGACAGCCACGCUGGUUUCCAGGAUGGUUCUAUCCCAUAGUUUGCAAAAGGAAUAAUACCGUACACUUUACUCUGCAAACUACUUUUUUCAUGUAAUAAUGUAUACGCACUUCUCUAGGCCAAUACCUAUAGAUUUUAAAAACUUGUUUGUUUUUAAUAAAAAAAAUAAUAAGUUGAUACUACUCCAAAAGUUGCUGACAGUCUUAGAAGGCAGUAGCACAGGGACUAGGGCGGUAAAGCUUUUGCUGCACCACUGAUGAUGCUAAAACUAUGCUUCGCCAGGAAACCGCAUAUUUACAUAUUCGAUCGGAAAAGAAAGCAGGUUUUGAAGCUAGCUUGCAUGUAGACACGUUAGUUCCAAAUGCCCUUCCAAUGUAUUUUGCGAACCUCCACUCUGCAUUUAGGGUGAUAGUUUCUAUUUGAUAGAAACUGUAAAUAGGGAUCACACUGCCCAACAUAUUAACAGGUUUUCUGACACAUUCUUUUCAGUGGCUGCGUAACGAUGCGCAGUUAUGGUUCAUCAGUCCAACUAUACGAUAGGAAGAGACAUUUCCCUUUCUUGGGGCCGUGUUGUACACACGACGGAUCCCACCGCAGGGCGUUCUGCUCCGAGCGUGCUGACAGCGCACUCUCCCACGUCCCCCCCGCCCCUCCUCUCCUCUCCUAACUUCUCUCCACCCUUCUCCACACCAAGCUCCUGUGCACAGACUGAAGGAACAAGCAUUGCCUUGGGUUAAACUGUGUCCCCCCUGCACACACCCCCUGCAACCCCCCGCCCCCAGAAAACUCAUGUUGGAGUCCUGGCCCCUGGUCCCUGUGAAUGGGACCUCAUCUGGAAACAGGAUCCUGAAGAUGGAAUCAAGUUAAGAUGAGGCCACGCUAACUUAGGGUGGCCCUAAAUCCAAUGACUGGUGUCCCUAUAGGAAGAGGGAAACCUGGACCCAAGGGAAAAGGCGUGUGAAGACAGAGGCAGAGGUUGGAGUGAUGCGUCUACACGCCGGGGGAUGGCAGGGAUCGCGGGCAACCAGCCAGAGCUAGGAAGAGGCAAGGAAGGAACAACGUACCCAGAGUCUCAGAGAGGGCAGGGCCCUGCCGACACCCUGAUUUCGGACUUCGGGCCUCCAGAACUGUGCAACAACUGUGUUCCAAACCUCCUGGUUCGUGAGGGUCUGUUCCAGCAGCCCCAGGACGCUGACACAGGAGCGCUGCUGUGUGAGAGGAAAUGCAACAUGCUCGUUCGCUCACUGGGCGCCAGCCUUGCAGGAAGGCAGACGUGUUGGCCCUUCCUGCUCCUCUGUCAGCGGCAGGGGCCCCCACGCAACGUGUGGGAAGCUGCGUGCACUGCAUCCGCAGAAGCAUCCUCCUGUUGCAACGAGACUCGUGCAGUCGCUCAGGCUCACGCUUCCAAAGCCCCUGGAGCAGGUUCCCCACCAGGGACUCGCAUCCUCUCCCUGUACCCUCCAGCUAGCGACAGGGACCUCGCCACCUCCCGAGGCAUAUUCUGUUUCCAAACAGCUUUAACUUCGAGUUCCUGAGAGGUUGUCCGCCUCCACAAAACCCUAUCCACGGGUAUUACUUAUAAUCCCUGGGAAUAAAAGAACCCAUCCUCUGUCGUGCGUCAAGCCACUGAAGAGAGGAACUGUAUCCAACAGGAUGAAGGACAAGCUAGUUUUCCAGCCAUCCGGGGUUUGCACAAAAAGGGAGGCCCAAGGUCGAGGACGAGAGGAGGCUGGCAAGCUGCCAACGGUCGGGACCAGACGCGUACCCCGGCCCCAGUCUGAACAAGUGGGGUCUGCGGAGGAGUGGGGCACCUCGAGUAGAGAACGUGGUGUCUGAAAAUGAACCCAUGAGGUUUAUCGAAAGAAAGAAAAGAAACCGGAUCUUUGACUCCAGGGAAAACGUGGCGCUGUGUCUGAAGUGACCGCAGGGCCGCCCAGAUGUGGAGGCUGAGCGCUUCCACAGGCACGACCUCACCUGUUCCUCACAGACGCUGAAGCAGCGCUGGCGCCGGCUGAGCGUGCACGGGCCCCCUGGGGCCCACCCCUCACGUCUCUGCCCGCCUUUACUCCAGCCCCUCAGAGCAGCAACCAGCUCCCUGGGGUGCCGCCCGCCGGAGCCUCGAUUCAGCCGCUCCAGCUGCUUCUUCCUUUUUGGCCCGCGGCACUGGGCCCGCUCCCCAGGAUGGCCACCCGGGACCCCCUGCCUGCACACCGGCCCUGGCUGGGGCUUCGAUGGAAGCUGGCCCAUCGGCCCAUCUCAUCUUUGUAAAAACACAGCUUUGACGACGCAAGAAAGAAGUGUAGAGACGUCACAAGCCCUGCUUUCCCAAGCCCCGGGGCAGAGGCCCAGCUCUGAGCACUAGGCCCUACCUUAGGCCGUAAAGGAGACGCCUCUGCCUCGUCUUAGAGAAGAGGAGGCUCGGGGCGCCCAUGGCAGAGCAGCCGCUGGAAUCCGGCCCCUGACGUCUCACCACGUGUCCUUCCCAAGCGCCCGACGCCCACGCCCUUCCGGGAAUCCCGCGAGUGCCAGAAGGGGCGCUGAUGCAGCGCGGGUCCUCCCCAGACACAUCGGGGAGGGGAGCCAGGCAACAACCGCGGUGCUGGGUUAGCUCUCAGGCAACCGCUUCCCCGACAGUGAAGCAGGAGGCGACUGGCGUCCCCAGACUUUGGAAGAGGCAGCUCUGGGCGGCAGGGCGGCAGAGGCCUGGUCUGCAAGGCCCCUUUGGGCUCCAGCACGGGUGAACGCGAGUCGAGUUGGCCCCCUGUGUGGCUUUCCAGCUGUGCCGUUUCAGGGGGAGAUACGGUCGGACAGCAGGGGAGGGAUGUGAGGCAUUUUCCAUCCUGGGCUCUUGUCCCGGGGUUGAGGCCGAGCUCAAAGCCGAGGCCGGGGCUCCGGUGUGAGGCCCGCGUCCGGGAACAGAUGCUUCUGCAGCAUGGGGUGUGGGGAGUGCUCAACUCGUGACCUCAGAACAUCCCUGUCAUCCCCGGUCAACAGAGCAAUGGGAAAGCCCAGACGAGGCCCGGCUGCUGGUGAAGGCCACCCAGACCGGAGAAGGAGAUGCUGGGGACGCAGAUGUGGCAGAGGACCUGCUCACCCCUCUUCUUCCUGGACUCAGGGCUACACUGGAUCUCUCAGCCUCCUUUGCAGGUAGAUGGGCCAUGGGACCCAGCUGGCCAAUGGGAAGUGGGCGGAAGUGAUAGGCGUCCUUCCUGGACAGACAUUCUGCAUUUUGGCGUGUUUCUGUUUCAUCGAUAAUCAAGGAGAAGAGACAAGACAGGCGUGGUCUCUGCCGUCCUGGAGCUUUCCAGGUACACAGUCAUCCAGUGACGCCUGAGGACGGGGUCUGAAGGAGGAGGCCAGAGUUUCAGAGAGCACGCCAUCCGAGGCCGCAGAGGAGAGGUCAGGAGAGCUUCUCCUCGUCGGGAGGAUGGGAAAUGUCUUUACCACCUUUGAGAGCGGAAGCGGGGCCUAACCCUAACCCUAGCCCACGCUGGUCAGAGCACUUUGAGAAGAUCAAUUGUGGUGAUGCGAAGGGUAAGUCUAUACUUUUAAACUUCUCAUUUCUCGGAGCUGCCUUCGGACCAGACUGUGGAGUUUGGGGAGGAGGCCCCGUGUCCCCUACACGGCCAAGGGCUUGGGGUUCACAGCCUGCGCAGCUGCUUUGAGCCCCAGUGCCUGGGACAGGUUUCCCUCGUGCUCUUUUCUCCUUUCUAAAGUGAGCUCAUCGGUCACUGAAGGGCCUCGCUGCCCCUCUAGCAUCUGUUUGGGGUCUUUGUUUGGCCAUAGACCUCGUUUUUUUUCCCAAUAAAUUUAUUUAUUUUUGGC